GCGCCCAUAGCUCAGUAGGAUAGAGCAACGGACUUCUAAUCCGUAGGUCGCAGGUUCGAAUCCUGCUGGGCGCACCA
rnacentral:tRNA from 1 species